rnacentral:rRNA from 1 species
CGGCGAGUGAAGCGGCAACAGCUCAAAUUUGAAAUCUGGCGCAAGCCCGAGUUGUAAUUUGUAGAGGAUGCUUCUGGGUAGCGGCCGGUCUAAGUUCCUUGGAACAGGACGUCAUAGAGGGUGAGAAUCCCGUAUGUGAUUGGCUUGCACCCUCCACGUAGCUCCUUCGACGAGUCGAGUUGUUUGGGAAUGCAGCUCUAAAUGGGAGGUAAAUUUCUUCUAAAGCUAAAUACCGGCCAGAGACCGAUAGCGCACAAGUAGAGUGAUCGAAAGAUGAAAAGCACUUUGGAAAGAGAGUUAAAAAGCACGUGAAAUUGUUGAAAGGGAAGCGCCCGCAACCAGACUUUGCGGCGGUGUUCCGCCGGUCUUCUGACCGGUUCAUUCGCCGCCGUGAGGCCAUCAUCGUCUGGGGCCGCUGGAUAAGACCUUAGGAAUGUAGCUUCCCUCGGGAAGUGUUAUAGCCUCUGGUGAUGCAGCGCGCCCCGGGCGAGGUCCGCGCUUCGGCAAGGAUGAUGGCGUAAUGGUUGUCGGCGGCCCGUCUUGAAACACGGACCAAGGAGUCUAACAUCUAUGCGAGUGUUCGGGUGUCAAACCCCUACGCGUAAUGAAAGUGAACGGAGGUGGGAACUUUUUGUGCACCAUCGACCGAUCCUGAUGUCCUCGGAUGGAUUUGAGUAAGAGCAUAGCUGUUGGGACCCGAAAGAUGGUGAACUAUGCCUGAAUAGGGUGAAGCCAGAGGAAACUCUGGUGGAGGCUCGCAGCGGUUCUGACGUGCAAAUCGAUCGUCAAA